CUCCGAGGACAAUAUAUUAAAUGGAUUUUUGGAACUAGGAGUUGGAAUAGGAGCUUGCUCCGUCCACUCCACGCAUCGACCUGGUAUUGCAGUACCUCCAGGAACGGUGC
rnacentral:snRNA from 1 species